rnacentral:rRNA from 1 species
ACUCCUACGGGAGGCAGCAGUGGGGAAUAUUGGACAAUGGGCGCAAGCCUGAUCCAGCCAUACCGCGUGGGUGAAGAAGGCCUUCGGGUUGUAAAGUCCUUUUGUUGGGAAAGAAAUCCAGCUGGCUAAUACCUGGUUGGGAUGACGGUACCCAAAGAAUAAGCACCGGCUAACUUCGUGCCAGCAGCCGCGGUAAUACGAAGGGUGCAAGCGUUACUCGGAAUUACUGGGCGUAAAGCGUGCGUAGGUGGUCGUUUAAGUCCGUUGUGAAAGCCCUGGGCUCAACCUGGGAACUGCAGUGGAUACUGGGCGACUAGAGUGUGGUAGAGGGUAGCGGAAUUCCUGGUGUAGCAGUGAAAUGCGUAGAGAUCAGGAGGAACAUCCAUGGCGAAGGCAGCUACCUGGACCAACACUGACACUGAGGCACGAAAGCGUGGGGAGCAAACAGGAUUAGAUACCCUGGUAGUCCACGCCCUAAACGAUGCGAACUGGAUGUUGGGUGCAAUUUGGCACGCAGUAUCGAAGCUAACGCGUUAAGUUCGCCACCUGGGGAGUACGGUCGCAAGACUGAAACUCAAAGGAAUUGACGG